rnacentral:rRNA from 1 species
CAAGGUGAGAGAUACGGAGGUAGAGCACUGAAUGUCCUAGGGGGUAUUGCACCUACCGAAGACUAUCAAACUCCGAAUGCCGUCAUCUUAUACUUGGGAGUCAGACUGUGGGUGAUAAGAUUCAUAGUCGAAAGGGCAACAGCCCAGAUCGUCAGCUAAGGUCCCUAAAUGUAAGUUAAGUGGUAAAGGAUGUGGGAUUGCACAGACAACCAGGAUGUUGGCUUAGAAGCAGCCACUCAUUCAAAGAGUGCGUAAUAGCUCACUGGUCGAGUGAUCCUGCGCCGAAGAUUUCCGGGGCUAAAACUUACUACCGAAGCUACGGCAUCAGUAAUGAUGGGUAGGGGAGCUUCCCAUACGGGUUGAAGCAUGACCGUAAGGACAUGUGGACAGUAUGGGAGUGAGAAUGUUGGCAUGAGUAGCGAGAUGUGGGUGGGAAUCCCACAGGCCGUAAACCCAAGGUUUCCAGGGGAAGGUUCGUCCGCCCCGGGGUAGUCGGGCCCUAAGCUGAGGCCGAAAGGCGUAGGUGAUGGACAACAGGUUGAUAUUCCUGUACUACCGAUAACCGUUUGAGAGAAGGGAUGACACAGUAGGAUAAGCUAAGCACACUGUUGGUUAUGUGUGCCCAAGCAUUGAGGCAGUCAAAGUAGGCAAAUCCGCUUUGAUAAUGCUGGGAUGUGAUGGGGAGCGAAAUU